AGCAGAAAAAGAUAUCUAUCAACUAUUAACCAUAAAAAGACGGCAACUCUAAUAGUAAAAAUGUGCAAAAAAAUAUAACCAAUCUGUGAAACCUAUGAAAGCAAUUGACGGUAGUCAUGUUAAACGGCAUUGUUUUCUUAUUUUUUAUCACCUAUCUAUCGCUCAAGUACUUAUUGAUGUUAUUUGAAUAAUGACAUGUAUUUUUCUCCUACUCUCAUCAGCCAAAUGGUUGACAACAGCAAACGGAACUAAAAGCAGUUGUUGUUGCUACAAUGCUCAUAGAAACCAUUUGCUUCAAAAUAUUUGUCAAUUAACAGCAAUUUUUGGUGAUUAAUUAUGUAUGUAUGUAUAUUGGCCAAAAAAUAUUUCCUUUACUAAUUACUAAGUAAAUUGUCACCAGAGUGGUGCAAAAUUUCACACCUUUGUCUGUUGACAUUUCUAUAAGAGACAGUAGCAACAUACAUAAAUGACGGAUUAAAUUUUAAGGAUUGAAGUUGAAAGAGUUGUUGAUCAUAAAUAAAGGCUUCUAUGAAAGUGCUU